GGGGCUGACUGGUUUUGACAGCAAGUUGAAGAGGUAUGUAAGCAUGCCGGGCCUUGAUCGCACAGCCCGUAAAUCUCGGCGUUCAAAACUAUAAUUGGCGAAAAUAACUACGCUCUUGCUGCGUAAUCGAAUUAAGUAGAUUACACUUUAUCCCGGCACCAGGUGUUGGGACGAGACAUCGCCCGGAUGCUAUCUCCCUGAAGCGGUCCGAUCUGGCGGUGCAAGUAAAUCGGGGAUAGUGGAAGUAGUGCUCCGCGACUUCUGCAAAAAUAAAGGAGCUAAGGUAAAAGUCGGUGGCCCUGAUCCAGCUUUUAUUCGAAAAUUAAGUCUGGGGAUAAGCAUGUAGAAAGCAUAUUGCUUCCUUGUUUGGACCCGGGUUCGAUUCCCGGCAGCUCCACCU
rnacentral:tmRNA from 4 species